rnacentral:rRNA from 1 species
ACUGAACGCUGGCGGCAGGCCUAACACAUGCAAGUCGAGCGAAGCGGGGACGGGUCAGUAACACGUUGAUAACCUCCUAUAAGCCUGGGAUAACUUCGGGAAUACGGAGCUAAACAGGACACUUAUAGUUGGAUCCGCGCUUCAUUGGAUAGUGGGUAAGGUAUCGGCGUACCAAGGCAACGAUGCAUAGCCGACCUGAGCGGGUGGUCGGCCACACUGGAACUGAGGCACGGUCCAGACUCCUACGAGAGGGAGCAGUAGAGAAUCGUCCGCAAUGGGCGAAAGCCGGACAGAGCAACGCCUCGUGAGUGAUGAAGGGCUUAGGGUCGUAAAACUCUGUUAUUAGGGAAGCGGUACGUAAUCAGAAAGCCACGGCUAACUACGUGCCAGCAGCCGCGGUAAUAC